rnacentral:rRNA from 1 species
ACCGGCGGCUCGAGUGGUAACCGUUAUUAUUGGGUCUAAAGGGUCUGUAGCCGGCCGGAUAAGUCUCUUGGGAAAUCCAGCAGCUUAACUGUUGGGCUUUCAGGAGAUACUGUCUGGCUCGAGGCCGGGAGAGGUGAGAGGUACUUCAGGGGUAGGGGUGAAAUCUUGUAAACCUUGAAGGACCACCAGGGGCGAAGGCGUCUCACCAGAACGGACCUGACGGCAAGUGACUAAAGCUAUUGGCACUAAACG